GUUAGUGCCCUUAGGUAUAUAGAUGCUCUGUUAGUGCCCCUGCUUUAGGUAUAUAGAUGUUCUGUUAGUGCCCGUAGGUAUAUAGAUGUGCUGUUAGUGCCCGUAGGUAUAUAGAUGUGCUGUUAGUGUCCCUGCUUUAGGUAUAUAGAUGCUCUGUUAGUGCCUGUGCUUUAGGUAUAUAGAUGCUCUGUUAGUGCCCCUGCUUUCGGUAUAUAGAUGUGCUGUUAGUGCCCGUAGGGAUAUAGAUGCUCUGUUAGUGCCCGUAGGUAUAUAGAUGCUCUGUUAGUGCCCGUGCUUUAGGUAUAUAGAUGCUCUGUUAGUGCCUGUGCUUUAGGUAUAUAGAUGUGCUGUUAGUGCCCGUAGGUAUAUAGAUGCUCUGUUAGUGCCCGUGCUUUAGGUAUAUAGAUGCUCUGUUAGUGCCCGUAGGUAUAUAGAUGCUCUGUUAGUGCCCCUGCUUUAGGUAUAUAGAUGCUCUGUUAGUGCCCGUGCUUUAGGUAUAUAGAUGCUCUGUUAGUGCCUGUGCUUUAGGUAUAUAGAUGCUCUGUUAGUGUCCCUGCUUUAGGUAUAUAGAUGCGCUGUUAGUGCCCGUAGGUAUAUAGAUGCUCUGUUAGUGCCCGUGCUUUAGGUAUAUAGAUGUGCUGUUAGUGCCCGUAGGGAUAUAGAUGCUCUGUUAGUACCUGUGCUUUAGGUAUAUAGAUGCUCUGUUAGUGCCCGUGCUUUAGCUAUAUAGAUGCUCUGUAAGUGCCCGUGCUUUAGGUAUAUAGAUGCUCUGUUAGUGCCCGUAGGUAUAUAGAUGCUCUGUUAGUGCCUGUGCUUUAGGUAUAUAGAUGCCCUGUUAGUACCCGUGCUUUAGGUAUAUAGAUGCUCUGUUAGUGCCCGUAGGUAUAUAGAUGUGCUGUAAGUGCCUGUGCUUUAGGUAUAUAGAUGCUGUGUUAGUGCCCGUGCUUUAGGUAUAUAGAUGCUCUGUAAGUGCCUGUGCUUUAGGUAUACAGAUGCUCUGUUAGUGCCUGUGCUUUAGGUAUAUAGAUGCCCUGUUUGUGCCCGUGCUUUAGGUAUAUAGAUGCUCUGUUAGUGCCUGUGCUUUAGGUAUAUAGAUGCUCUGUUAGUGCCUGUGCUUUAGGUAUAUAGAUGCUCUGUUAGUGCCCGUAGGUAUAUAGAUGUGCUGUUAGUGCCCGUAGGUAUAUAGAUGCUCUGUUAGUGCCCGUGCUUUAGGUAUAUAGAUUCGCUGUUAGUGCUGUGUCUUGAUGAAAUUGUUUACUUAAGUUCACUGUAAUGUUAAAUUUGCCUCAAUACAGAGAGGGAAAAGGUGCAAGUUAAACCACAGCAAACAGUUCUCAGUAUACAGAGUUAUAAACAGUGGUCACAGUUUCACAGGUGAAGAAAUUAGAUUGACUCAGCCUUGCUACUGUGGAAACAAAUAAUGUGCAACAGGUGAACUUUGAAUUAAAAGUAAACACAUGUGUAUGGGUCUAAAAGUGUAUCAUUCAUUCAUGCAACAAUAGGUGACACAUAUGUACUAAGAAAUAUCAGCAAAAAAAGUCAUUAAACACAGUGACUAUAACCUUGAUACAGUGACCACUAACCUUAAUUCAAGAAAUGCUUGCAAAAAUAUUCAAAAAUAUAAAUGACCAAAAAUUACUAAUUAACACUAACAUGCAACAAUAAAACUACUCUAGAGCACCGAAGCAACACUUAUAUAUAUACAUAUUUAAUCAUACAUACAGGACUGUUACUGCAACAAGGUGAACUAAUCAUACAUACAGGACUUUUACUGCUACAAAGUAACCCAAUAACCAUACAUACAGGACUUUUACUGCUACAACGUAACCCAAUAACCAUACAUACAGGACUUUUACUGCUACAACGUAACCCAAUAACCAUACAUACUGGACUUUUACUGCUACAACGUAACCCAAUAACCAUACAUACUGGAUUUUUACUGCUACAACGUAACCCAAUAACCAUACAUACUGGACUUAAACCGCUACAACGUAACCCAAUAACCAUACAUACUGGAUUUUUACUGCUACAACGUAACCGAAUAACCAUAC
rnacentral:lncRNA from 1 species